AGGGGGCCCAGGGUGGAGAGCGAGGCUCCCACGAUCUUUCUGUCCAGCAAGGAGCAGAGAGCAAGAAACCCUGAGGGACUGAGACAAGGAAACCUGGAGGCAAGGCUCAGGUGGGGCUGGCCCCUGCAUCCAGGGUCAAAUCAAGGGGCUUCCAGACAGGAGGGAUCCACUGGCUCAGGGCCCAGACCCUGUCCAUGCCCAUCCCUGUCGCCGGAGGGAGGGGCCCUGGCCUCGCCCAGGGCAGCCCUGUCCCAGCUGCAGUGCAGGCCGCUGGGCUCUGCAGAACAGUCCUUCCUGCAGCUGGAGCACAAGAACCACAGUCUGGGCACCUCUGCAGCUGCUGUGGCAGGAGCUGUGUCAGCGGCAAAAGGCUUUCAUGCAGCAGUCCCAGAAUGAGCUACAGCAGAUCCGCCUGUGCUUUGAGAAGAUGGUCAUCACAGAGCAUGGCUGAGAUGCACAUGGCCCUGAACAACCAGGCACCAGGCUCCUGGUAGGUCCCCACGGAGCAGCACCCAGAAGGAUGGGGCCGGGCAGGUGAGAGGCCAGGUAGGGCGGGGCCGGGGCCUGCUGUGCUUACCUCCUCU